rnacentral:rRNA from 1 species
UGGGGAAUAUUGCACAAUGGGCGCAAGCCUGAUGCAGCCAUGCCGCGUGUAUGAAGAAGGCCUUCGGGUUGUAAAGUACUUUCAGCGAGGAGGAAGGCAUUAAGGUUAAUAACCUUAGUGAUUGACGUUACUCGCAGAAGAAGCACCGGCUAACUCCGUGCCAGCAGCCGCGGUAAUACGGAGGGUGCACGCGUUAAUCGGAAUUACUGGGCGUAAAGCGCACGCAGGCGGUCUGUUAAGUCAGAUGUGAACUCCCCGGGCUCAACCUGGGAACUGCAUUUGAAACUGGCAGGCUUGAGUCUUGUAGAGGGGGGUAGAAUUCCAGGUGUAGCGGUGAAAUGCGUAGAGAUCUGGAGGAAUACCGGUGGCGAAGGCGGCCCCCUGGACAAAGACUGACGCUCAGGUGCGAAAGCGUGGGGAGCAAACAGG